UCAAAUCUGCGUUGAACUAGGUGAAGAUUUCUCAUUUCCCAGUAGACCAAAUCAGAUUAUACGGACAAAUCAGGUUCUUUCACAAAACAGAUUAACAUAGAGUAAUUAAGUCUGGCAUUUCACACGUAGCACUUUAAUCUCUCCAGCAAUAGUACAUCCCAGAGCAUAGGUUAACAAAUGCUAAUGUAUUGGUUUAUUUUAAUCUGUUAAUUCUGUUUUUCUUAAUUCUCCUUCUUGCUCAUAUACCUGGCUCGCAGAUUUGAUAAGAACUCCAUGUCGGACAAGGACUGCACAUCAAGAAGAGGAUGGAUCCUGAAACUAAAGAAAUCUAAAGAACAUCAACAGCUUUACGCAGGAGCCACGGAGGAGACCUCUGUCUUUGAUGUGGAUACCUCAGAGCCAUCAUCCACUUGUUUGCCAAAGAGUUGCAUGAUACAUGAACGGAACUGAUAAGGAAAAAAUAAAACAGUAUGUUACAAAUUUAAAC